UGGGGGAUAUUGCACAAUGGGCGAAAGCCUGAUGCAGCGACGCCGCGUGGGGGAUGAAGGCCUUCGGGUUGUAAACUUCUUUUGCUCUGAACAAGGCGCACCAUGGGGUGUGUUGAGUGUAGGGGUUGAUUAGCGCCGGCUAACUACGUGCCAGCAGCCGCGGUAAUACGUAGGGCGCGAGCGUUGUCCGGACUUAUUGGGCGUAAAGGGCUUGUAGGUGGCUGGUUGCGUCUGUCGUGAAAGCUCAUGGCUUAACUGUGGGUUUGCGGUGGGUACGGGCUGGCUUGAGUGCAGUAGGGGAGACUGGAAUUCCUGGUGUAGCGGUGGAAUGCGCAGAUAUCAGGAGGAAUACCGGUGGCGAAGGCGGGUCUCUGGGCUGUUACUGACACUGAGGAGCGAAAGCAUGGGGAGCGAACAGG
rnacentral:rRNA from 1 species